rnacentral:rRNA from 1 species
GGACCUCUAUCGAAAA